rnacentral:rRNA from 1 species
AGAACGAACGCUGGCGGCAUGCCUAACACAUGCAAGUCGAACGAGACCUUCGGGUCUAGUGGCGCACGGGUGCGUAACGCGUGGGAAUCUGCCCAAAGGUUCGGAAUAACUCAGGGAAACUUGAGCUAAAUACCGGAUGAUGUCGCAAGACCAAAGAUUUAUUGCCUUUGGAUGAGCCCGCGUAGGAUUAGCUUGUUGGUGAGGUAAAGGCUCACCAAGGCUACGAUCCUUAGCUGGUCUGAGAGGAUGAUCAGCCACACUGGGACUGAGACACGGCCCAGACUCCUACGGGAGGCAGCAGUGGGGAAUAUUGGACAAUGGGCGAAAGCCUGAUCCAGCAAUGCCGCGUGAGUGAUGAAGGCCUAGGGUUGUAAAGCUCUUUACCCGGGAAGAUAAUGACUGUACCGGGAGAAUAAGCCCGGCUAACUCCGCGCCAGCAGCCGC